UGUUAUCGACACCUGAUGUAGCUGAGGAUAUUGUUGUAGGGGUUGUAGAAAAUGACAGAUUUCUUUUCAGAUUAUUUACGGCAAUACCAAUAUUUUCAAACAGCAAUCAAUGGACGACAGAUUUCCUGUGAAGAUGGUAUACAGAGUAUCUGGCAUGCGUUUACAAGUUGCGUGGAAGGACCAACAGAACUUAUUGGAUUUAUAUCAGGAAUUGUCGCCAUACCUGUAUGGUGCUUGGCAUUUAUUAUAAUGAAGACUACAGAUCAAAACCGGAUACUGGCCUCCAAACGAAACGACUUACCACGGGUGGUUAUCCAUGUUUUGGACUGUUUUGGAACUUUAUUAUCAUUUCAGCUCACCUCUCAG